CCUACGUGAGGCAGCAGUGGGGAAUAUUGCACAAUGGGGGGAACCCUGAUGCAGCGACGCCGCGUGGGUGAAGGAGUGCUUCGGCAUGUAAAGCCCUAUCGGCAGGGAAGAAGCAAGACGGUACCUGACUAAGAAGCCCCGGCCAACUACGUGCCAGCAGCCGCGGUAAUACGUCGGGGGCGAGCGUUAUCCGGAUUCACUGGGGGUAAAGGGAGCGUAGACGGCAAUGCAAGCCAGGGGUGAAAACCCGGGGCCCAAACCCGGGACUGCCCUUGGAACUGCAUGGCUUGAGUGCGGGAGGGGCAGGCGGAAUUCGUGGUGUAGCGGUGAAAUGCGUAGAUAUCAGGAGGAACACCGGCGGCGAAGGCGGCCUGCUGGACCGCGACUGACGUUGAGGCUCGAAAGCGUGGGGAGCGAACAGGAUUAGAUACCCUAGUAGUC
rnacentral:rRNA from 1 species